AAUAUAACUAAAAAAAAAAAAAAAAAAUUUAAAGGGACGGCAAUUUAAACAGCUUAAUGUUUCUUCAAAGGCUAAGUGAUGGAAAGCAACGCUGAAGUAAAUUGACAACUUGGAAUUAACUGGGUGCUGGCAUGGCUCAGGUCCGUUCCAGUUAAUGUGGCACUUUUUAAGAUAUGCACCGAAAUGCUUCCAAUUUGUUAAUACAUCACUAAAAAGUUACAAAUGAAAUGACCCCAUUUAGCCCAAAGGAUGUUAUUUUAGGCAUUAAUGAAUUAGACAUUACUACUAUUUUCAGGCAAAAAUCAAUUGCCUCAAUUAACAAAUUUGCACAAGUACAAAUAUUUACAAAAAAAAAGGCUCAGAAAGC